rnacentral:rRNA from 1 species
GGGGAAUAUUGCACAAUGGGCGGAAGCCUGAUGCAGCGACGCCGCGUGAGGGAUGACGGCCUUCGGGUUGUAAACCUCUUUCAGCAGGGACGAAGCGAGAGUGACGGUACCUGCAGAAGAAGCGCCGGCCAACUACGUGCCAGCAGCCGCGGUAAGACGUAGGGCGCGAGCGUUGUCCGGAUUUAUUGGGCGUAAAGAGCUCGUAGGCGGCUCAUUGCGUCGUCGGUGAAAACCCGUGGCUUAACUGCGGGCUUGCCGACGAUACGGGUGGGCUGGAGUUCGGUAGGGGAGACUGGAAUUCCUGGUGUAGCGGUGAAAUGCGCAGAUAUCAGGAGGAACACCGGUGGCGAAGGCGGGUCUCUGGGCCGAUACUGACGCUGAGGAGCGAAAGCGUGGGGAGCGAAC